rnacentral:rRNA from 1 species
AGAAUGACUCUCGGCAACGGACAUCUAGGCUCUUGCAUCGAUGAAGAACGUAGCGAAAUGCGAUACUUGGUGUGAAUUGCAGAAUCCCGUGAACCAUCGAGUCUUUGAACGCAAGUUGCGCCCGAUGCCAUUAGGUUGAGGGCACGUCUGCCUGGGUGUCACAU